GGAAUUUGCUAAUGAGGGAUUCUUAAGAGGUCAGAAGCACCUGCUUAAAAGUAUAAGUCGACGUAAACCUGCUCAUGGACAUGCUCAACAACAGCAGCAGCCACAUGGAAAUGCUCAACAACAGAUGCAGCCACCUGGACACAGUGCAUCCGUUGGGGCUUGUGUCGAGGUUGGGAAAUUUGGGCUUGAAGAAGAGGUUGAGAGGCUGAAAAGGGACAAGAACGUGCUUAUGCAAGAGCUGGUUAGGCUCAGACAACAGCAGCAAGCCACUGACAAUCAGUUGCAAGGGAUGGUGCAGCGCCUUCAAGGUAUGGAGCUGCGACAACAACAAAUGAUGUCGUUCCUGGCAAAAGCUGUCAACAGGCCUGGAUUCUUGGCACAGUUUGUUCAGCAGCAAAAUGAGAGUAAUAAGCGAAUAGCUGAAGGCAGCAAGAAACGAAGGAUUAAGCAGGAUAUUGAAUCACAGGAUCCAUCCGUUACUCCUGCGGAUGGACAGAUUGUUAAGUACCAACCUGGGAUAAAUGAGGCAGCAAAGGCAAUGUUGAGGGAGCUUUCAAAACUAGAUUCAUCUCCUAGAUUAGAUAACUUCAGCAACAGUCCUGAAAGUUUCCUGAUUGGUGAUGGUUCACCACAGUCUAAUGCAUCUUCAGGUCGUGUUUCGGGAGUCACUCUUCAGGAGGUCCCACCAACUUCUGGGAAGCCCUUGCUGAAUACAGCUUCAGCAAUUGCAGGUCAAAGUUUGUUGCCAGCCACUUCUGAGAUGCAGUCAUCUCAUCUUGGCACAUGUUCCGAAAUCAUCAACAAUCAAUUGUCAAACAUAAUCCCGUUGGUAGGAGGUGAAGAUUUGCAUCCUGGUUCACUUUCUGCAUCCGAUAUGAUU
rnacentral:misc_RNA from 1 species